CCCCCCCCCGUCCCGCCCAGGCAGCCAGGCCUGUCCAGGCCCGGCCAGGUGCGCCCGGCGCGGCGGUAGAGCCCGGCGUGCGCGGGGGGCUCUGGGCAGGAUAUCAUCGUAUACUGUAAGUCGGAUAUGAGACACUACAGUAUAGAUGAUGUACUACCCCGGCCUCUCCCCUCCUCGGCGCCCAGCGCAGCCACGUCGUCCUGGGGGUGGCAGGAGCAGGGGCGAGGGCAGCGGGUGUAGGGUGGGGGGCAAAGCGUGGACCCCGGCGUGGCGGAGGCGAGAGGGCGUUUCGGCCCCCGGCGAAGGCAUCUGGACACCGAGCGACAACCCCGGGGCGUCGGGGAAACCGUUACCAUUACUGAGUUUAGUAAUGGUGACGGUUCUACCGCCGCCUCGCCUGCCCCGGACCAGGAGGAGCGGAGCCCAGCGGCGCGGCGCGGCCGGACCGGGAUACGGGGCCACGGGGACCGGGGCUGCGCGUGCUGUGAACCAAUAAAGGCGGCUGCUCCCA